GAUGAGAUGCAGAAGAGUUGCGGAGGAUAAGGAGGAACUUCCUGAGGUGUUGGCACAGGAGGAAGGAUUCCCCUCUUGACGUGAUCGCCAUCAAUGACACUGGCGGUGUGAAGCAAGCAUCUCACCUCCUCAAGUACGACUCCACACUUGACAUCUUCGAGGCCAACCGACGUCCAGCCCGUUGGCGACGGUGGCAUCUCCGUUGACGGUAAGAUCAUCAAGGUGGUGUCAGACAGGAACCUGCCCUGUAAG